rnacentral:rRNA from 1 species
GACGAACGCUGGCGGCGUGCUUAACACAUGCAAGUCGAACGAAGUGGCGAACGGGUGAGUAACGCGUAAUCAACCUGCCCUUCAGAGGGGGACAACAGUUGGAAACGACUGCUAAUACCGCAUACUGAAGGAGGGGAUUGCGUGUGGUUAGCUAGUUGGGGGGGUAACGGCCCACCAAGGCGAUGGUCAGUAGGCGGUCUGGGUAGGUGAACGGCCACAUUGGGACUGAGGCACGGCCCAGACUCCUACGGGAGGGAGCAGGGGGGAAUCUUCCGCAAUGGAGGAAAGUCUGACGGAGCAACGCCGCGUGAGUGAUGACGGCCUUCGGGGUGUAAAGCUCUGUUAAUCGGGACGCGGUACCGGAAUAGAAAGCCACGGCUAACUACGUGCCAGCAGCCGCGGUAAUAC